CGUGCAAAGGUAGCAUAAUCACUUGUUCCUUAAUUAGGGACUUGUAUGAACGGUUAAAUGAGGGCAAAACUGUCUCCUACAGUUAAUCAAUGAACUUGAUCAUACAGUACAAACGCUGUAAUUUACUUAUAAGACGAGAAGACCCUGUGGAGCUUUAAACUUCUACAUUAAAUUAAACUAUAACAUAAUGUAAAAUUUUAAGUUGGGGCGACUGUGGAGUAAAAAAAAACCUCCAUGAAACUCGACUAAUCCUCGCCAUAAAAGGCCAACAAGCCUAACAAAAACGUUUGACCCAAUCAUAUUGAAUACCGAACCAAGUUACCCCAGGGAUAACAGCGCCAUCCCCUUAAAGAGUUCACAUCGCCAAGGGGGUU
rnacentral:rRNA from 1 species